AUGGGGGCGGGGCCGUCCGGCUGUGACACCGUGCUGGCCGGUUCCCUGAGGGACACGGGGCUGCCCGGGCCCCGACAGCAGGCUGAGGCGCCUGCGAGGUCUGAGGGCUGCUCUGAGGAUGUGCGAAGACCCGAAGGGGAGGAGCUCUACGUAACCACAGCCCAGUUUGUCCGUAACCUUGCGGAGAAGGCCCCAGUGCGGGUCAACACUGCUGUGACUUACUUGAAGCCUCAACUGGCCAUACUUUGGCACUAUGCCAAGGUUGAGCUGGUCCCUCCAACCAGCUCAAGAUCCCUACAGCUAUUCAGAGCUUGAAAAAAAUUGUCAGUGGUGCUCAAACCGGUAGUUUCAAACAGCUCACAGUUAAGGAAGCUCUGCUGAAUGGUGUGGUGGCCACUGAGGUGUGGACGUGGUUUCGUGCUGGCGAGAUCACAGGCAUGCGUGGCAUCACUGGCUAUGAUGUUUGAAGACCAAUCUUUCACAUGUGAUUAUAUUUGCUUUAUUAUUUCGGUGUUCUUGGACCAUGUAUGAGCAGACUGGUUUUUGAAUAAAAUAAGGCAAUGUGUCAAA